rfam:Danio rerio chromosome 3, GRCz11 reference primary assembly.
GGCCGGUUAGCUCAGCUGGUUAGAGCGUGGUGCUAAUAACGCCAAGGUCGCGGGUUCGAGCCCCGUAUUGGCCA